GUUUAUUUUUCCUUAUUUCUUUCCCCUGCGCCGAACCUAUCUCCUUCUUCCCUGCGUCCGAGUUUCCUCUUCCUCUCCCAUCUCCCGAUUCUUCCUCUUCAUCUUCACCCGACGGCGCCGCGGUCUUUCCUCAACUCAUUGUCGCAACCCAUCUCAGCGCCGGCGAAAUCCUCCCUUCCAGAUCUAUCACCAGUGACUCCGUGCCGCCCCGAUCAUCUCCUCCCCUUCACCGUCGGUGCAGCCUUGACACAAUGAGCAAGAGCUUCAACACCUAUCGGUUUCCCCUGCUGCCCCUUCAUCUCGACUCCUAUCAUCGCCUCUGAUCGUCGCCUUGAGUGGUCGCCGCCCUCUGCCCUAAUCCAAACUCCUCCCCAUUCAUUUGUUUCGAUCCAUGGUGAUGCCACCCUUCUUCAUCAUCACGCACACCACCCGGGUCUCUCUAACGGGAUAAUUGGCGGGGUCAGUUAUGCCUGUGCCAACGACAGCCUCGACCAGAGAAGAUGCUCCUUGUGCUUGUAGCCUGGCUCUCCACUAUUAGUUAUUCUUGGGAGACAGACACCUCUGCCGGUAGGCCAUCUUAUUGCUAUCACUAGCCGUGAUUGGAGGAGGAGGGCAUCUAUCAGGAGGGAAUCUCUAUUCCUUCACAACAAUGACCAGGAUCAUCAUUGAACGGUGAUGGGCUUGCAUAGAGAGUUUCCUCUUCAUCAUAGUAACCUCUGCAGAUUUGGAUUGAAGGAUGGUUGAUCAUUGUAGCUUUGGCAAUGGAUUUCUACCGCUUUGCUCGGGCCAUAGUAGCUUCACCAGCAGCUAGUCUUGAUGGGUGUCUCAGCUGAUCAUAAUGAGUUUCCACGUGCAGGUAGUUCGACGUUUGAUUUAGGUAACAAACUAAAUCUAAAUAGAUUAAUUAGUUGAUAAAUCUACAUCUUGUUGAUAACUUUGGAACGAUUGGGAAUUUAUAAAUCUGUUUGAUUUGGGGAGCAAUAGAGAUGAUUCAUGGUAAACCUAAUCUAAUUAGGUUGUAGUAUGGUUAAGGUUAAUUGGGGAUUCAUCUAUAACCAUGUUUGAUUAGAGUUACUCUAAUUAGCUAAAUAUACUAUGUGAUCGCAGGACUUGGAUUCGGGACGAACGUCUUGAUGUGGGAUUUCUGGACGUGAUCUAUGUACUAAGGCGGAUACUUCUUGCUUUAGCUCUUUAGUAUUUUAACCCUAGUGCAUGAGCUUUAUAUUCAGAUAGUUGUUGUAUCUAUCUUGACUACACUCGUAUUUCUCCUGCGUUUGAUACUUCCACUCAAUUUUUGAACUACUCGUUUCUAUGUCGAUACAGUUUCACGUUGCUAUCUAUGAUAUUUAGCAGA